UACGAAGGGAGCUAGCGUUGUUCGGAAUCACUGGGCGUAAAGCGCACGUAGGCGGACGUGUCAGUCAGGGGUGAAAUCCCGGAGCUCAACUUCGGAACUGCCUUUGAUACAGCACGUCUUGAGUCCGGAAGAGGUGGGUGGAAUUCCUAGUGUAGAGGUGAAAUUCGUAGAUAUUAGGAAGAACACCGGUGGCGAAGGCGGCGCUCUGGACCGAGACUGACGCUGAGGCGCGAAGGCGUGGGGAGCAAACAGG
rnacentral:rRNA from 1 species